UACGUAGGGGGCAAGCGUUGUCCGGAAUCAUUGGGCGUAAAGCGCGCGUAGGCGGCCCGGUAAGUCCGCUGUAAAAGUCAAAGGCUCAACCUUUGAAUGCCGGUGGAUACUGUCGGGCUAGAGUCCGGAAGAGGCGAGUGGAAUUCCUGGUGUAGCGGGUGGAAUGCGCAGAUAUCAGGAGGAACACCAAUAGCGAAGGCAGCUCGCUGGGACGGUACUGACGCUAAGGCGCGAAAGCGUGGGGAGCGAACAGG
rnacentral:rRNA from 1 species